AACGAACGCUGGCGGCAGGCCUAAAACAUGCAAGUCGAACGAACCUUCGGGCUAGUGGCGCACGGGUGCGUAACGCGUGGGAAUAUGCCUCUGGGUGCGGAACAACGUCGGGAAACUGACGCUAAUACCGCCUAAUAUCUACGGAUCAAAGAUUUAUCGCCCAGAGAUUAGCCCGGGUCUGAUUAGGUAGUUGGUGAGAUAACGGCUCACCAAGCCGACGAUCAGUAGCUGGUCUGAGAGGAUGAUCAGCCACACUGGAACUGAGACACGGUCCAGACUCCUACGGGAGGCAGCAGUUAGGAAUAUUGGACAAUGGGGGCAACCCUGAUCCAGCCAUGCCGCGUGUGUGAAGAAGGCCUUAGGGUUGUAAAGCACUUUCAGCUGUGAAGGUAAUGACAGUAACAGCAGAAGAAGCUCCGGCUAAAUUCGUGCCAGCAGCCGCGGUAA
rnacentral:rRNA from 1 species